AAUCCGCAGCGAUUAGCAUCUCCUGCCGCCCACUGGGACCCAACACCCCCGUGCGCCCUCCCAGGGCCUGGCCUCCCCGAAGGGCCCUGCAGGAAGCAGAAUGUGGACCACAGUCCGUGCCCUGUGGUUCCCUCAGGCGGACCUGCCAUGUGUGAGUCGGGACAGGUGUCUUUACAGCAUGCUACAGAGCAGGGAGAGUGGAAGUUCCUGGAGUCUAGAAGCUUCUCUACCGUGGCCUCCAUCAUCACAUUCUAGAACCCAGAACCAAAGGCCACCUCCUGAAGGCAUUGGUUCCAUCCGAGGGCCUUUGGGGCCGGUCUACCUGGCACCAGAGAGAGAACACCAGCGGGAGGAGCUGCUGACAGAGGACAAACAGGCUCCCUGCUGAGCGGGGAGCCCGAGGCGGGACUCGAUCCCGGGACCCCGGACCAUGACCUGAGCCCAAGGCAGACGCUUAACCAACUGAGCCACCCAGGCGCCCCGAUAGAGAGAUUUUCAAAGGAGACUGAGGCUGCAGGAAAAGCAGAGCAUCCAGAUUCAAACGUGGGCCUGUCCUCCAGCCUCUGGACCCGCGUACCGUGUCAGACAGUUGCUCUCCAGGGGGGCCGGCUCUGCUCCUGAGACAUUUGGCAACGCCAGGAGCCAUUUCUGGUUGUCGCAACUGGGGUGUGUGCCUGAGCUACUGGCAUCUGGUGGGUAGAGAUCACGGACGCUGCUAAAUACCCCACAGCACGGCUCCGGCCACACAGCAGAGUUACCUGCCGCCGGGGUUGACUGUACCUUGGUGAGCAGCCCUGGUCCAAGAGUCAUCGUCCCUGCCUCACAACUGCCUUGAGAGCUAAGGAAAGUGAUGCUUGUCCAGGAUCCAGGACUGGGCCUCACUCCUGCUCUGUUCAAACAGGACCCUCUCGGGGCGCCUGCGCGGCUCAGUGGUUAUUAAGCCUUUGCCUUCAGGUCAUGAUCUCAGGGUCCUGGGAUCGAGACCCGAAUCUGGCUUUCUGCUCAGCAGGGAGCCUGCUUCCCUCUCUCUCUCUGCUUGCCUCUCUGCCUACCUGUGAUCUCUG